GAUGAACGCUGGCGGCGUGCCUAAUACAUGCAAGUCGAGCGAACGGACGAGAAGCUUGCUUCUCUGAUGUUAGCGGCGGACGGGUGAGUAACACGUGGAUAACCUACCUAUAAGACUGGGAUAACUUCGGGAAACCGGAGCUAAUACCGGAUGAUAUUUUGAACCGCAUGGUUCAAAAGUGAAAGACGGUCUUGCUGUCACUUAUAGAUGGAUCCGCGCUGCAUUAGCUAGUUGGUAAGGUAACGGCUUACCAAGGCAACGAUGCAUAGCCGACCUGAGAGGGUGAUCGGCCACACUGUAACUGAGACACGGUCCAGACUCCUACGGGAGGCAGCAGUAGGGAAUCUUCCGCAGUGGGCGAAAGCCUGACGGAGCAACGCCGCGUGAGUGAUGAAGGUCUUCGGAUCGUAAAACUCUGUUAUUAGGGAAGAACAUAUGUGUAAGUAACUGUGCACAUCUUGACGGUACCUAAUCAGAAAGCCACGGCUAACUACGUG
rnacentral:rRNA from 1 species